CGAAGCGGAUCUCUUAAAGCUGUUCUCAGUUCGGACUGCAGUCUGCAACUCGACUGCACGAAGCUGGAAUCGCUAGUAAUCGCGGAUCAGCACGCCGCGGUGAAUACGUUCCCGGGCCUUGUACACACCGCCCGUCACACCAUGGAAGUCUGCAAUGCCCGAAGCCGGUGGCCUAACCACUUAUGUGGAAGGAGCCGUCUAAGGCAGGGCAGAUGACUGGGGUGAAGUCGUAACAAGGUACC
rnacentral:rRNA from 1 species